GACGAAGGGGGCUAGCGUUGUUCGGAAUUACUGGGCGUAAAGGGCGCGUAGGCGGCACUGUUAGUCAGGCGUGAAAUUCCUGGGCUCAACCUGGGGACUGCGCUUGAUACGGCAGAGCUAGAGGAUGGAAGAGGCUCGCGGAAUUCCCAGUGUAGAGGUGAAAUUCGUAGAUAUUGGGAAGAACACCGGUGGCGAAGGCGGCGAGCUGGUCCAUUACUGACGCUGAGGCGCGACAGCGUGGGGAGCAAACAGG
rnacentral:rRNA from 1 species